rnacentral:rRNA from 1 species
CGCGUAGGUGGUUUGUUAAGCGAGAUGUGAAAGCCCCGGGCUUAACCUGGGAAUUGCAUUCGAUACUGCUUGACUAGAGUAUGGUAGAGGGAAGUGGAGUUCCAGGUGUAGCGGUGAAAUGCGUAGAUAUCUGGAGGAACAUCAGUGGCGAAGGCGACUUCCUGGACCAAUACUGACGCUGAGGCGCGAAAGCGUGGGGAGCAAACA